AUGGCAUGUCUGAGGGCCACCACCGCCGCACUCCUUCUCACCCUUGUGUCGUCGGCCGCGGCCACCACGACAAAGUUCAACAUUACCGAGGUCCUCAACAAAUCCCCGGAGUUCUUGACCUUCAACGGCCUUCUGUCGAAGACGAAUCUCGCUGAGGAAAUCAACAAGCGGCAGACCAUCACCGUUCUCGUGGUCGACAACUCCGCUGCCAGCGGCAUCACGUCGCUGCCCACAGACACGCAGAAGAAGGUGCUCGCCGUGCACGUCAUCCUCGACUACUACGAUCCCAUGAAACUUGAAAACAUCGAGAAGGGGACGGCGCUCCUUACCUCGCUCUUCCAGACUACCGGCGCCGCCACCGACAGCAUGGGGUUCGUCAACUACACCCAUAGCGCGGACGACCAGAUGGUGUUUGGCUCAGCCGAGCCCGGCGCACCGCUCAGCUCGCAGCUGGUGAAGGUCGUUGCGUGCCGACCAUACAAUCUAUCCGUCAUGCAGGUCAGCGCAGCAAUCAUUCCACCAAGCAUCAGCUCGUCGGCCUACGGUUCAUCGUCCAACGCGAGUGUCCCGACCAUUACCGAGGCUGAGACGCUUGAAUCGCCCGACGAGGCCAGUGCACUAGACGAUGACGCUCCUGCAUCAUCGCCACCAGUGCAUAGCGCUGACACGGCCGCAGGCGCGCACACUUCGGCGGGGAACACAGUGGUGGUCCGCACACGUGUUUGGCUCGUGGGGCUUGUGAUAUUGAUGGUUUAA
rnacentral:rRNA from 1 species